AAAUGGUUCUAUUUCCCAUGGUGAAACCCUUUCAGGCCUUAGAAUGGAUGCAGGUUCAUCCCAUUGAACCUGGGAAAAAAGGAAUAUUAUUAAGGUGAAACCAUAAAAUUUCAAAUAAAGGGGAUUGAAAAAGUGGGAAAAAAAAGAAAAAGAAGAACUCCAUCCAAGACUAUGUUACUUUCAAUUGGCGCCAUUUCGAAUCAACCCAGUGAGGAGAAAAAUCUUCAACUCCAACAAUUGUACCAGAAAACCUUCUCUCAGGAGAAUCCUCGCCUUCAAAUCUCAUCUUGAAUCUCAUGCCAACAGCAAACUUAUUGUUAACAGCCUCUAGAUAUUUGUUCACGCUUAUAAUGAACUGGCUUGUCCUUGGCUUGUAAUAGACCACGAAAAGAGUUUGAGUGGCAACAGCAUGAGAUGCUGUUGCUAGCACUCCUAGGUGCAUGCUUUGACUUGAAAUCACAGAUGAUGGCAUGCUGCUUUGUUGACAAGUAAGACGUCUCACCCCAACACGCAACUCUCCAUUCUCCCCCCUGAGGAAAACAAAUGAAUCCCCAGCAACUAAUCUCUUAGACGCAACAAAUGUACUCCACCCUGUUGUAAGCAAGUGCCUCCGUGGUUGCCCUCUGAAAAUAUGCUUAAACCGCCAUUCAUAACCAUGAAGAUCCUUGGCCACCAACUCUUGUGUUGGCGUUGGUUGGGUCAUGUCCAACUGCGGAAGGCAUUCAGUAGCAUGCUUUCGAAGAACAGAAAACCCCCCAUGAGUGCUUGUAUCAGAGACGGUUAACACCUUGCAGAAAGAGUGAACUGUUGGACAUAGUGAAGACUCAGGUGGGCAUGGAUCAGGACAUGUAGGCUCAGGUUGAUCGGGUUCUGGAAGCAAAGUAAUUUGUGCAUAAACUUCAUCUGUCUCUUGCUCCGCCAGCAGUUGAACAUUAAUGACCCUACAGAGGAUCUUGGACGGCAGAUUGAACAAGGGAACACUCUGAUUCAGCUCCUGAUUUGUUGAUGCCUCCAACUAUAUCAUCUGUUCCAUGUGACUCUGUGGAAAAUAGUACACUCUCUCCCCAUUUCGAGGAACAUCCACAAGUGGUCCCGCACAAGCCUUCCACAGCUCAGUAUACAGAACAUCCCCGCCACCACAACCUUCAGUAUUAGCUUGGGAAAAAGACCUCCCCAAAUUCGCCGCCAUAAUUUUUGAGCCAAAAACUCACAAGUCAACAACGAAACGAUAGCCGCCAAAAGAAUUCAAAGUCUACACGAUAAAGCCUCCCUCUCCGUACCCUUAAUUUACCUCGUUAUAUACACUUGAAUCACCACAAUAAAACUCAAUAAUCACAACAAUUAUUACUAACAAUCCGUUAAAUAACACUUUACAAAACAAAGGCUCAAGCUUUUCCCCCUCCUAAACCACCCGUUACUAUGUGUGUGUGUAACGAUCCCAAGAUCUAAACCCGUAAAGCAAACAACUUUAAUAGUUACAAAACCACUCUUCCAAGCUUGCAAAACCACUCCCCUUCCCUCUCUAAGCUUGGCUGCCCUCGCUCUCUCCCCCUCACUUUAAAGUAUUUGCUUUUGAUAAGAGAAGAUGAAGAAAGAACAAGGACAAACCAAUCACAGUUUAUUUAUGUGUGUGUUUGCCUGUCUCCGACUGUGAAUAAUUAUGCUGCAAAGGGAGAUUUCUCAUACAUAACUUGAUCGGCCGACACUUGUCUUGUUGGUGAUAUUUGGCAAUUAUCAAUAAAU
rnacentral:misc_RNA from 1 species